rnacentral:tRNA from 1 species
UUCCUGGUGGUCCUGUGGCUAAGACUAUGAACUUCCAAUGCAGAGGGCCCAGGUUCAAUCCCUGGUCGGGGAA